AAGGGCUUUGUAGGAUACUGGGAU
rnacentral:piRNA from 1 species